rnacentral:lncRNA from 1 species
AAUUUUAUUAAUUAAUCUGUUGUGAAUGUAAAUCAGAUGUGUUUUUUUGAGUCCAUGAUAGGAAUUCCUGCUUCCUUUGUAACACUGCUGAGAUUAUUAGUUAGUGUAGCCCUGUGCCCAGAUGAAUGAAGCCAGCAGAUGACAGAUCAGUUUGGAAAAGGGACAUGCAGGGAUUGCCAUACAGACCUGAAGCCCAACAGUGGAACUGUCAGAGAGGGACGGAUCCUUCUAAGAACAAAGAAUUAAGACAAUUACCAAGAACUCCACCAAGAGAGCACCAGGACAGUGAUAGAGGGGUUGCCUCCUGCAGCCAGGGAAUGUUGCAAGAUGGUCGUCUCUCCUUCUUCCUGAAUAAGACAACGUACCACUGUUAUAAGAUUCCAAGUGAAUUCCUUCAGAGGAAGAGAAGGACAACAUAAGAAGGCGUGGAUGACAGACUUUCAGUUAAACUAACAAAGAAAGAACACUGCAGCACCAUCUAUGCCUACCUUUUUCUCAGCGUUUAU